GUGUAAAUAGUAUAACUAUUACAAUAGUUUUUCGUGCUAUAGAUUUGAUAUUUUCAAUUUAUACA
rnacentral:tRNA from 1 species